rnacentral:lncRNA from 1 species
AUUGAAUUAUAUGAGGAGUUAUUAAAAGAUUAAGAUUGUUGUUUAUUGAGAUCUGUGUGUGUUUUGACAGAGGAAGUUUGUAAUUAAAAAAAUUAUGUGAAUCUAGAUUGGUUAGAAUGAAGUCUAUUAUUUCUAGUGUUAGAUAGAAAUUAUGUAUUUUGAGCAGUCUUUUGAGAGUGCACGGUUGUACACUGUUGUUAUCAGUUGAUGAAAGAAUAUUGUUACUAGAUGAAAAUAUUGUAAUAUUUCUUAGUAUUUUAGUGGUUUGGAAUACAGUUAAUUGUGUGACCCUAAGAAGUAAAAUUCAUGCACUUAGUCUUUUCAUGUGUUUGAAUUCUCCUAAAAAGGUUUAUUCUGAAAGAAAUUGUAGAAUAAGUAAAACGAUAAUUAUAUUUUGGUACCACUGUCGGGAAUAGACAAUAGCAUUGAGUGUUAGAAAUUAACUAUGGAUUUAGUUUGAUGGGAGAUAGGAAGAAAAUUCAAUAGAAUAUAAUGACAAUAUGGUUAUUAAAAAUGAGAACUUAGCAGUAAAGAGAAUACGACAAUUGAAAGAAAGAAUAGAAAGAUCGCAAUCA